rnacentral:rRNA from 1 species
AGAGUUUGAUCCUGGCUCAGGACGAACGCUGGCGGCGUGCCUAACACAUGCAAGUCGAACGGAGUUUUUACGGAAUGCGACUUCGGUCAAAUGAAGUAUAAACUUAGUGGCGGACGGGUGAGUAACGCGUGAGCAACCUGCCUUUCAGAGGGGGACAACAGUUGGAAACGACUGCUAAUACCGCAUGAUAUACCGAAGCGGCAUCGCUUUGGUAUCAAAGAUUUAUCGCUGAAAGAUGGGCUCGCGUCCGAUUAGGUAGUUGGUGGGGUAAUGGCUCACCAAGCCUACGAUCGGUAGCCGGACUGAGAGGUUGAACGGCCACAUUGGGACUGAGAUACGGCCCAGACUCCUACGGGAGGCAGCAGUCGGGAAUAUUGCGCAAUGGAGGAAACUCUGACGCAGUGACGCCGCGUGCAGGAAGAAGGUUUUCGGAUUGUAAACUGCUUUAGACAGGGAAGAAAAAGGACAGUACCUGUAGAAUAAGCUCCGGCUAACUACGUGCCAGCAGCCGCGGUAAGAGACACUGU